GACAAACGCUGGCGGCAUGCCUAACACAUGCAAGUCGAACGGACAGAACAGGGAAGCUUUUCGGAGUGGAACUGGAAAGUUAGUGGCGGAUGGGUGAGUAACGCGUGGACAACCUACCUUGUAAAGGGGAAUAACCUCGAGAAAUCGAAGCUAAUACCCCAUAAUAACCUUGCUUCGCAUGAAGUAAGGAGGAAAGGCGGCCUUAGCGCUGUCGAUACAAGAUGGGUCCGCGUCUGAUUAGCUAGUUGGUGAGGUAAAGGCUCACCAAGGCGACGAUCAGUAGCCGGCCUGAGAGGGUGAACGGCCACAUUGGGACUGAGACACGGCCCAAACUCCUGCGGGAGGCAGCAGUGGGGAAUCUUCCGCAAUGGGCGAAAGCCUGACGGAGCAAUGCCGCGUGAGUGAAGAAGGCCUUCGGGUUGUAAAACUCUGUCCUUAUCGAAGAGAGAGUGUUGUAGUAACUGACAAUACUAGGACGGUAGAUGAGGAGGAAGCCCCGGCUAACUAUGUG
rnacentral:rRNA from 1 species